rnacentral:lncRNA from 1 species
GGCAGUCUUAGGCUGAGGGAACAUUUUCCAGAGUAUAGCCGAGGGACAGAAUGUCUCAGUAAGACGGGCUCGGAGGGGAAGUGUUUUGGAAAGGCCUCUGCUUGCUCUGGGAGGCGUUCAGGAUGCUGAGGUUUUGGAAAUCUAUGGCGGCUCUUCACAACUGCUCCCAGCUUUGGGAGGAGGAAUAGACGGGUGCUCGUUUCCUCGGGUUCAGUGGCAAAGGUGAAGACCAGCACUGCCGACCUGGGACCUGGGCCUCUCCCGGGCCUGGGGAGGACACUGGACUUUGAAGGGGAAUGCAGCCUAGAAGGCCUGGACCCUGGAGUCAGGAGAUGCUGCUCCCAUCCAGUAAGCCCUGGCUGGAGCUCUUCUGGGCACCAACCCUGGCAUAAAACCAGUGGGGCCUCUGGGCCUGCACUCAACAGUGCCUCUGAUGGAGCAGGUUCAGCUUGGUUGUGACCUCUGCUAGAAGCCCUCCCUGGCCUCCCUGUGCACUGAGCUGGUGGUUCCUCCUUUGCGCCCCAGGUACAUGCUCAGAUCUGUGUACCCUACACUUUGUCCUCCAGCUUCGUGUUUGGAUGUUCACAACUCCCAUGAGAAGGGCCCCCGAGAGCUGGCACAGUGCAUGUGUUUCCUCUCCAGACUUCUACAAACCUGGCACAUAAUUGUUUGCUGAAAGAUGGCAUGUUCCUAAAACAGAGGAAGUAGAACCGAAUAAAGCGAAAUCCAACUUCCCACUCCCUGCUCUCACUUCCUCUGGGACAGGCCUUGAGCAAGAGAGACAAAAAGAACAAGAGAUGAUCUUUCCCUUUAAUGGGAUUUCAGUCUGAUCAGGGAGAUAGUAACAGAAAGACUAGACUAGACUAGUGUAUGAUUAAAUGACAUUUGCCAUCCCCAGAAGAGGGAGAGACCUGCAUGGAACAGGGUGGUCAAGGCAGGCUUCCUGGAGGAGGCAAAGACUUAGAUUUAACAGUACCAGAGCUCCAGGAUAGAUCCUCCUCUGACUGAACUCCCUAUUUCUUUCUCCCACCCCAACCUUCCCGGGUCCCCAGCUGAAGGGAUACGUGUGUGUGUGUGUGUACAUGUGCCUGCACACAUGUACACAUGUGGUUAGAAAGGGGGUAUUAGUAUCUCUCUCCUAGGAUGGAGUCUCAAGGACAGGCCCAUCAUCUCCUCAGUUUGCCCCUCUCUCUCCCACUUCACCUAGGGAAUGGAAUAAGAAUGGGAUAAGUAUAACACAAUGAGACGAAUGCAGAACCAACUAGAUGUACACCCAACAAUGUGGAUGAACCUUAAAACAGUGCUGCCUGAAGAAGGCAAGAAACAGAAUGAAAUCUGCAGCACAUCAUUCAUAUAAACUAAAAAUACAUGCACAGAGAAAGGCCACUUUUUUUUUUUUGGAGACAAAGUUUCGCUCUUGUCACUCAGGCUGGAGUGCAAUGGCACGAUCUCGGCUCACUGCAACGUCCACCUCUAGGGUUCAAGCGACUGUCCUGCCUCAGCUUCUAGAGUAGCUGGGAUUAUAGGAGCCCACCACCAUGGCCGGCUAAUUUUUGUCUUUUUAGUAGAGACGGGGUUUCACCAUGUUGCCCAGGCUGGUCUCAAACUCCUGACCUCAGGUGAUCCACGUGCCUCGGCCUCCGAAAGUGCUGGGAUUACAGGCGUGAGCCACCGCACCCAGUCAGCAACGUAUGUUUUGUAGAGACACAGACAAAGAUGUGAUGUCAAACACACUAAUGUGGUUGCCUCAUUUAUGGAUGGGGGACUGGGCUGGUGAAUGAGGAUUAAAGGAAUAAAUAAAUAAAACAAGAGAGGGCCUCUGUACAGAACGGUGAUGACAGCGUGCCGUCGAGGAGAAUGAUGAACUCAAACUUUUGCACCUGAGAGCCAAACAAAAGCUCAAAACCAAAAUCUCUCUUAGAAAUGAUGCCACUGACUUUAGGAUGGCACUCAUAUCUGUGUGAGUGGGAGAGAGAAGGGUUUGGGGCAGGGAUUUGACUGUAGCUGUAAUGUUUUAUUCCUUUAAAAAAGAUAAGAUAAUCUGAAACAAAAUGUUAAUAUCUGUUGAAUCUGGGGAGAGGCUAUGAGGGUUUCUGUUAAACCAUUUUGUGUACAUUUUAAAUACAGUCAUGCAUGAGUUAAUGAUGGGGAAUAAGUUCUUAGAGAUACGUUGUUAAGCAGUUUUGUUAUUGUGUGAACAUUAUCGAGUGUACUUACACAAACUUAGGAUGGAAUAGCUGACUAUAUAACUUAGACUAUAUGGUCUAGCCUAUUGCUUGAAGGCUGCAAACCCAUACUCCAUGUUACUGUACUGAAUAAUGAAGACA